CCGCAGCCGAGCGGCGGCAGCGGCGGGAAGGCGGAAGGCGCUGAUCGAGGCCGCCCAGCCGCCGCCCGCGCGCUCCGCGGCCGAGCCGAGGUCCUGUCCUCACUGACAGCUGCCAGUGGUAUUCAGAACAACACUGCAUGCUGAGUACUAGGUUCCCUUACCUGGAAUGGGGCAACUCACCUGCAAGAAUCAACGGGACAUCCACAUGAUGAAAUAUUUUACAGCCUCUAAACUGCACUUUACCAGGAAUUUGUGAAAACAUGGGGAAACACUCCUGUGUUUAUGGCAAUUGAAAAAUAUACGUCAUAAAAUUGUGGGUGCAGUAGAAUCUCAACCUUGUAAACUGCAGAGGGAAAAACUGGUAGUAGCCCUGGUGGGCUUUGGGGGUGGAGGGAAUCCGUGGGAUUUUUCUCUCUCCUUUUCUGCA